rnacentral:lncRNA from 1 species
ACCCUUCGCUGCGCGCCGCCCGGGGAGGCGGGCACCUUUCCCAAAGAGUGGCUCGGGAUGGGGUGCGGGGGAGGGGAGACGCGGACCGGAGGGCAAGGUUCCUUCCAGGUCCGGAAAUCGGCUUUGAUAUGGAACUACUCCGCUCUAGCCUGGAAAGGAGACCCGCGCACUCCUCUCGCAGCUAAUUUCGGAUCAUUAAUUUAAUCGGAAAUGAGGUAACCAGUGUAGGAGACAGAGAAAGCAACCGGAGCAUCAAAUGGCAGUUCUCGAGAAUCGACGAGGAACUUAAAUCUGGACUCAGGGUUUCAGUGCGGUCUCCGACUCCCACCACCCCGCCCCUCCGCCUGUCUCGCCGCCAGGUGUGACCUCCACGCGAAGGAAUCUUCUUCGGAUGGGUGCACCUUGCCAACAGGUGUGGCACCUGGAGGACUAGGAGGCGCCUCCAGACUAAGGGCGCUCAGUGCGGCGUUCUUGUUGCAGAUGAUUCUGGAAGGCCGGUAGGUGUCGGGCGACAUUUGACCUUCUUCAGGUGCUUAGAACUAAGUGUCUGGAAACAUGAUCCUUUCGCGUAAGUUUCUUUCUGAAAGCCACCAAUCUUGACUGUAAGCUGUAUUUGAGAGAUCUUUUGGCUGAGUUUACUUAUGACCUAACGGUUAGUCACCAACUGAGGCAGGGCACAGGAUGACCAAAAAAAAAGUGUCAGUUUUUACACAACUCUGGCCUGCAAGAGCCUACGUGCUUCAUAAAUAAAAAUAAACAUACGAGCGAGGAAGGUGCAGAGCCCCGGAAAUAUUUUUUUCUCACAUUUUUGAAAUACCAUGCACAUAUAUGUGGCUAUUUAAGUAUAACUACUAGUGUUCACUCUUACUCAUUUCUACAACUUUUUUUUUUCCAUUUAAAAAUCGAUUAUUGUUACGGUUUAAACCUCGGGUUGGUCUAAAGUGACAUUGUUGGUCUCAUUACAGCCUCUAGUGGACAGUUAACAUCAGUUUCCUGAAAAGGCUCUGACUGGUUUUGUUUUCGUUGACAAGCUUUGUCAAGGUGAAGGUUAGUACGUAAGAGCAUAACCGGGUAAAAUGUCCCCUCACCCCUAUCCUCACCCCCGCCCCCAACACCCUGCUUGGCAAAGACGACUUCAGAAAGGAGCAGAAGCUUGUUGGCUUUAUAUAGAAAAGACGUAUGCUUUGUGCUGCAGGUAUUAUUAUUACUGGACUGUGAAUAAACAGAAAGCUUCUGCUAUUCA